rnacentral:rRNA from 1 species
AUGAACGCUAGCGACAGGCUUAACACAUGCAAGUCGAGGGGCAGCACAGGUGGCAAUACCGGGUGGCGACCGGCGCACGGGUGAGUAACGCGUAUGCAACUUACCUAUCAGAGGGGGAUAACCCGGCGAAAGUCGGACUAAUACCGCAUGAAGCAGGGGUCCCGCAUGGGGAUAUUUGCUAAAGAUUCAUCGCUGAUAGAUAGGCAUGCGUUCCAUUAGGCAGUUGGCGGGGUAACGGCCCACCAAACCGACGAUGGAUAGGGGUUCUGAGAGGAAGGUCCCCCACAUUGGUACUGAGACACGGACCAAACUCCUACGGGAGGCAGCAGUGAGGAAUAUUGGUCAAUGGCCGAGAGGCUGAACCAGCCAAGUCGCGUGAGGGAUGAAGGUUCUAUGGAUCGUAAACCUCUUUUAUAAGGGAAUAAAGUGCGGGACGUGUCCCGUUUUGUAUGUACCUUAUGAAUAAGGAUCGGCUAACUCCGUGCCAGCAGCCGCGGUAAUACGGAGGAUCCGAGCGUUAUCCGGAUUUAUUGGGUUUAAAGGGUGCGUAGGCGGCCUUUUAAGUCAGCGGUGAAAGUCUGUGGCUCAACCAUAGAAUUGCCGUUGAAACUGGGGGGCUUGAGUAUGUUUGAGGCAGGCGGAAUGCGUGGUGUAGCGGUGAAAUGCAUAGAUAUCACGCAGAACCCCGAUUGCGAAGGCAGCCUGCCAAGCCAUUACUGACGCUGAUGCACGAAAGCGUGGGGAUCAAACAGGAUUAGAUACCCUGGUAGUCCACGCAGUAAACGAUGAUCACUAGCUGUUUGCGAUACACUGUAAGCGGCACAGCGAAAGCGUUAAGUGAUCCACCUGGGGAGUACGCCGGCAACGGUGAAACUCAAAGGAAUUGACGGGGGCCCGCACAAGCGGAGGAACAUGUGGUUUAAUUCGAUGAUACGCGAGGAACCUUACCCGGGUUUGAACGCAUUCGGACCGAGGUGGAAACACCUUUUCUAGCAAUAGCCGUUUGCGAGGUGCUGCAUGGUUGUCGUCAGCUCGUGCCGUGAGGUGUCGGCUUAAGUGCCAUAACGAGCGCAACCCUUGCCACUAGUUACUAACAGGUAAAGCUGAGGACUCUGGUGGGACUGCCAGCGUAAGCUGCGAGGAAGGCGGGGAUGACGUCAAAUCAGCACGGCCCUUACAUCCGGGGCGACACACGUGUUACAAUGGCGUGGACAAAGGGAAGCCACCUGGCGACAGGGAGCGAAUCCCCAAACCACGUCUCAGUUCGGAUCGGAGUCUGCAACCCGACUCCGUGAAGCUGGAUUCGCUAGUAAUCGCGCAUCAGCCAUGGCGCGGUGAAUACGUUCCCGGGCCUUGUACACACCGCCCGUCAAGCCAUGGGAGCCGGGGGUACCUGAAGUCCGUAACCGCGAGGAUCGGCCUAGGGUAAAACUGGUGACUGGGGCU